UGGUGGAUUGGCUCAGGAGUUUGUACAAACUCUGAGGUUAAGCAUGCUUGGGUGGGAGUAGUACGAGGAUGGGUGACCUCUUUGGAAGUCUCACCAAUCCAUCAA
rnacentral:rRNA from 1 species